UUGGUGUUGCUGUUGUUGCUCUCGUGCUGGUCAUUGCUGGUCUGCUCUUAGUGCUUUGUUAUGUGUAUAAAUCUCGGAGAGACAAACAGUGCAACCAAGGCCACAGAGAUGUGGAAGCGGGUCAGGGCAUUCCAGAACCAAACUCCAUUCCUCUGAUGCAGAAUGAGCAACGUGAUGCCAGUGACCAAGGAGGUGAGCCAGGAGAGGAGAGCAGGCAGCCCAUGGACAAUGAAGAGACAGGCGCUGACAACCCUCUGCUGAAUGGAGAUGCCAGGUAAACUGUACCACAUGACUAAUCACCUGCCAGUCCUCUGUAAUGUAGGCUAUGGAUAUGGAGAACAUUUGUAUCGUUCCCAAUAGAGAUACUUAAAUCAUUAUCAAUGUAAUAAUCUCAACUUUAGUGGCCAAGGAGAGGAAGGUGUUCUAGGAAUGGAGGAUGGAAAGCUGUCAGACAAUGACAGAGCAGACACUGAAAUCUGUCAGAAGACACAUGCUGAUUCCCAUCCACUGAAUGUACCCAAGGUUGUCAGGGUUAACAGCCAGACUGAUGACACACAGCUUCUUGGUCAACCUCAGAGCAAUGGACAUGUGCCAUAUAGAAGGGUUAACGAUGAGACUAAGGAAGCGACUCCUGGUGCACAGAGUCCAGGACCACCUCAGAUGAAUGAAGGUCCUCCCAUGUCUAACAGAGCUGCAGAGGAGACCACUGCUCUAUUGGACAAACAGGCCUUGGACAAGGACCAAGUCACCAAACCUCGUGAGUUAAUAGUAAGUACUGUUAAUAUCCUCUGACAACUGGUGAACUGUUUGUCUUGGUAUCUAAAAUGAUGGGGCUCGUUGUCUUUUUGGUCUAGCAUAUUUGUAACUCUUGUGUUUUUCCCAAGGACCAAGGACCUAACGACAUGGAGUCAAGUAGAGGAGAACUGUAACAAACGGUGGACGUUUGUAUAACAAAAGAGAACCUCAGAAGAUAAGAUACGAUAUACGAUAUACAGUACUUAUUAUAAGAUACUGUAAAAAAUGAUAUACAGUACUUAUUAUAAGAUACAGUAAUAUAUGAUAUACAGUACUUAUUAUAAGAUACAGUAAUAUAUGAUAUACAGUACUUAUUAUAAGAUACAGUAAUAUAUGAUAUACAGUACUUAUGAUAAGAUACAGUAAUAUAUGAUAUACAGUACUUAUGAUAAGAUACAGUAAUAUAUGAUAUACAGUACUUAUGAUAAGAUACAGUAAUAUAUUAUAUACAGUACUUAUGAUAAGAUACAGUAAUAUAUGGUAUACAGUACUUAUGAUAAGAUACAGUAAUAUAUGAUAUACAGUACUUAUGAUAAGAUACACAUAUGUGACUAGCUUCAUCAUCGUCAGUCAUGUCAACCUCAAGACACAUUCUGACCAGUGUGUUUUACUGCACAUUGAUUUUCAGAAACCUCAACAGUUUAUUAAGUUAAUUCUCUAUGUGACAGCUAUAAUCUGGAUAGGUUAGGAAACGUGUUUCAGUGAAAUCAGUUGAAAUUUCAAAACAGCCCAUUACUUGUAGAUAACUAAAAUUACAAAAUGAUUCUAAUCUGAAAAUGAGUGUGACUUAUGACUGAUUAUGAUACAGCAUGUCACAUAUUAGCAAUACAACAUUAUAAUGAUAUGAAAGGAUAGUAAGAUCAUACUUACAGUAGUAUUGUAUACUAUACUUACAAGCAAAUAUACAUUACAUACUCAUGAGAAGAUGCAUAAAACAUAAACCUCUUUAGUAGAGACAUUUCCAAGAUCAUGAGGUCUCAAUGUCUUGUGGACAUGUCAAAUAACUAAACAUUGACCAGGCGCUAUUUCCGCUAUAUAUACACAAAUGUAUGUGGACACCCCUUCAAAUUAGUGGAUAUGUCUAUUUCAGCGACACCCGUUGCUGACAGGUGUAUAAAAUGGAUUACACAGCCAUGCAAUCUCCAUAUACAAACAUUGGCAGUAGAAUGGCCUUACUGAAAAGCUCAGUGACUUUCAAUGUGGCACCGUCAUAGGAUGCUACCUUUCCAACCAGUCAGUUGAUCAAAUCUCUGCCGUGCUAGAGCUGCCCUGGCCACCUGUAAGGGCUAUUAUCACCAGGAUGUGUAAUGCCUCAUGAAGUAAAGUAUUACUAUGCCAGAUGCCAUAUUUGAAAAUCACAUUAGGAGCAUUAUAUUAUAUAUUAAGUGAUAGGCUAUAUUCUAAUUUCACUGCAUACCCUCUUACACCUAUGUAACUCCGUCUUGAGGGCAUAAAGGGAUAGUUCACCCAAAUUACAAAACGACAUGUUGUUGUUACCCUGUAAGCAGUCUAUGAACAAGUUAAGAAAGCAAUCCAAUGCUUUGGUUUUGUUUACUGUACUUGGUUAGGGAAAUGCAAACGUUUUAGCGUUUGUAACCCUGUUAAAAGCAUUUUUUUUGCAAAUCAUCCUAAAGUGUCAACAUUUGAUCUAAAAAGUUUGUAUAUGAAGACAGUGGUCAGGUAAACAAAACCAAAGCAUGGAUUGCUGUCUGAGCUUGUCCAUAGACUGCUUAUGGUGUAAAGAAAGCAAAUUAUAUUUUGUCAUUUGAGUGAACAAUCCCUUUAACAGGAGUGCGGAACUCCUACGUGAAGUCGUUACAGUAUAGCCCUCUGACGCAAUUUCCUAAAGAGCAUUUCAUGAGGUCAUACCACUUAGCUUCAUAAUCAUAAGGCAUUAUGCUGCCUGCUUAAAAUGCUGUAGGAAUAUAUAGACAUGUAGGAAUAUAUAGACAUUAGCAGUCAUUAGUGCCUAUUUCAUGCCAUAUGAUGUAUAAUGCAUAGAUUAUAAGGUGUUAUAAAUACACUUAUCACACAUUAUGAAGAGGGUAUUCAUAGGAAGUGUUCCCCACAGGUCUUGCAGAAGGAACUGUACCCCACACCCCCACCUACUAGUGACAUUGAGAAAAAUACCACAACUUUAGACAGGAAUUGUGUAGCUAUGUUGACAUUUGUGUUCACCGUUUAAUUAGAAUGUUUAUUUCGGUCAGAGUGUCGGUCAGGUCAAAUGACUUAGGCGAAUGACAUACCCACAUACACUGACACCUUAUAACCUUAGUGUCAGAAAAGGUUAAUUUCCUUCACAUUUGAAUUAUGCUUGUUUACUUACUUGUAAUGUAUUUGAUAUGUCCUGUCUGUGGGUUGGUCUCAUAUAUUUAUGAAUGGCUUUCGACCUGAUGCUUUUCAUGGUUAGUUACCUUACACAUUUAUUUAGUUUCAUUUCCUUAUUACAUUUUCAUGUGCAUUUUGACUGUUGGAUUGAUAUGAUCUGCUCAUACAUUGCCAUACAAGUGAGUGAGUUAAGACUAUUGUUUAAUGAACGACUCAGGUCUGAUGGAUACAGUUGUCCCUCAUACUCUCUUGUAUUAUUUGUAACAAACUUUCUGCAUGUAUCUGUAUGAGGAAACCUCCACAUUAUUGUCAUAUCUACUUUUUAGCCUGCAAGUUUAGGAGGGCUAUUCUGCAGAGUUUUGUGUUUUAUAUAAUAGAAAUGUAGACCCUAAGAUUACUUCUUAGUAUUAUAAUAUGCGUUUAAUUCCUUUUAUCAUUAAAACAUUCCUUUCCAGCUUGUGGUCGUGUGUUCUUCAAAUGAGACACUGGAGGAGAGGGAAAGAUCAAACUCUGAUUUAUUUAGUCUUAUGUCACUCGUUUUUAGCUUUAAGUUCAUGCAGAGACACGCACACACACACACACACACGUGCCACACUAAGGCUCCUGGUUUCUACAGUAGCUACUGUAGACCCUCACAGAUGUGAUCAUGUACACAACUGUACUGAGUUCAAAGUACUGUACAGUAUGUCUGUCUUAAUUGGAUGUCUGAUGUGUUCACCCGUAACACACAGUAGACAAUGAUGGUAUGGUACAGUAUGUGGAGGAGAAUGAGUUUACUGAUAUGGACAUUUCCCAUACCUUUUGUCUGUGGUAGUGAUACAUAUUAUGUACUUCAUACAGAUGGACUGAAGGACAGACAGACAGGUCGGCUGAGUUUGCCUGUGUAGACGGUUGAUAGAUUGGUACAUGAUGCCUCUCCCUCAGUAGUUUCCCUGUGUAGACGGUUGAUAGAUUGGUACAUGAUGCCUCUCCCUCAGUAGUUU
rnacentral:lncRNA from 13 species